rnacentral:misc_RNA from 1 species
GAUGAAGAACGUAGCGAAAUGCGAUAAGUAAUGUGAAUUGCAGAAUUCCGUGAAUCAUCGAAACUUUGAACGCACAUUGCGCCCCCUGGUAUUCCGGGGGGCAUGCCUGUCCGAGCGUCAUUGCAACCUUCAAGCGCGGCUUGUGUGUUGGGUCUCGUCCCCCGUGGACGGGCCCGAAAGGCAGUGGCGGCGUCCCGACAUGGUGCCCGAGCGUAUGGGAAUCCUCUUCCGCUCGAAUCGGCCCAUGCGGCGCUGGUCGUAACCAAAUUUUUUACCGGUUGACCUCGGAUCAGGUAGGGAUACCCGCUGAACUUAAGCAUAUCAAUAAGCGGAGGA